CUCUGUGACUCCUACGGGAGGCGAGCAGUGGGGGAAUAUUGCACAAUGGGCGCAAGCCUGAUGCAGCAACGCCGUGUGAGUGAAGAAGGUUUUCGGAUCGUAAAACUCUGUCCUAAGGGAAGAAACAAAUGACGGUACCUUAGGAGGAAGCCCCGGCUAACUACGUGCCAGCAGCCGCGGUAAUACGGUAGGGGGCAAGCGUUUAUCCGGAAUCACUGGGCGUAAAGGGUGCGUAGGCGGCUUAGCAAGCCAGGGGUGAAAGGCAUUGGCUCAACCAAUGUAAGCCUUUGGAACUGUUAGGCUUGAGUGCAGGAGAGGUAAGUGGAAUUCCUAGUGUAGAGGUGAAAAUUCGUAGAUAUUAGGAGGAACACCAGUGGCGAAGGCGACUUACUGGACUGUAACUGACGCUGAUGCACGAAAGCGUGGGUAGCGAACAGGAUUAGAUACCCUGGUAG
rnacentral:rRNA from 1 species